GACGAACGCUGGCGGCGUGCUUAACACAUGCAAGUCGAACGGAAAGGCCCUGCUUUUGUGGGGUGCUCGAGUGGCGAACGGGUGAGUAACACGUGAGUAACCUGCCCUUGACUUUGGGAUAACUUCAGGAAACUGGGGCUAAUACAGGAUAGGAGCUCCUGCUGCACGGUGUGGUUUGGAAAGUUUCGGCGGUUCGGGAUGGUCUCGCUGCUUAUCAGCUUGUUGAUGUGGUAGUGGCUUUCCAAGGCUUUGACGGAUAGCCGGCCUCAGAGGGUGACCGGCGUCAAGGCGACUACGAUACGGCCCAGACUCCUACGGGAGGCAGCAGUGGGAAAUAUUGCACAAUGGGCGGAAGCCUGAUGCAGAAACGCCGCGUGCGGGAUGACGGCCUUCGGGUUGUGAACCGCUUUCGCCUGUGACGAGGAGUGAGUGACGGUAAUGGGUAAGGAAGCACCGGCUAACUACGUG
rnacentral:rRNA from 1 species